rnacentral:tRNA from 1 species
UUAAAGAUAGUUUAAAAAAUAUAAAUUUUGGAGAUUUAAGUUAAUAAUGAUUAUUUCUUUUAA